AUCCGCCCAUUUCUUCAUCAACUAAAAGAAGCGCAGAAGCGCCAAGCUACAUCAAUAGUAAUCCCAGACCGCGUGAAGACGGCACCAGCAAUUCUCUCCAAUAACGUUCCAAAUGGCGCCCCUUUUCCAUCGAAAUACACGGAAGAACAGCCCAGGACAGGCAGUAUGCUGCAAACCUUGUCGCCUUCUUCCUUUUUCGUCUCCUGCAGGGUUUUUCCGCGAUUCCAGCUACUGCUCAGUCCAUACAGCCGCGGAAACCUUCCUUGGCUUGCAUCGAUGGGCGCCACGUCGAGCACAAGGACAUUGAGACCCAUGAAUGCUCGAUUCCUCCUUUCGAGUCAGUUGACCAACUUUAAACUGAUGCACAGAUCCCGAGGUUGAAAGAAAAUACAAACCGGAUCAAGAAGUUGAAGAUUUUGGGCUAAAAGGCCUAAAUUUAUUUCCUAAAUUUUUGUAUGUUAUCAUCUUUGGGCCUAAGCCCUUGUUUUCUUUUAUCAUUGUAUAAUUAAAAUUUUAGGACAGGUGAAGAAUGGGCCUAAGGCUCAAAACAAAAUGAAAAUGGGUUCAAAUACCGGUUCAGGCGGGCAAAAAUCGACUUUGGACUCAA